AUUGAACGCUGGCGGCAGGCCUAACACAUGCAAGUCGAGCGAGCGGCGGACGGGUGAGUAAUGUAUGGGGACUGCCCGAUAGAGGGGGAUAACUACUGGAAACGGUGGCUAAUACCGCAUACUAUCGGAUAACCCAUAUGGGAUUAGCUAGUAGGUGGGGUAAAGGCUAACCUAGGCGACGAUCUCUAGCUGGGCUGAGAGGAUGAUCAGCACCAAUGGGACUGAGACAGGGCCCAGACUCCUACGGAGGCAGCAGUGGGGAAGAUUGCACAUUGGGCGCAACCUUGCUGCAGCCAGGCCGCGUGGAUGAGGAAGGCCUUAGGGUUGUAAAGUACUUUCAGCGGGGAGGCGUUACCGCAGAAGAAGCACCGGCUAACUCCGGGCCAGCAGCCGCGGUAAUAC
rnacentral:rRNA from 1 species